CUUCGGCCUGCCGGCGAGUGGCGAACGGGGUGAGUAAUGCAUCGGAACGUGCCCAUGUCGUGGGGGAUAACGUAGCGAAAGCUACGCUAAUACCGCAUACGCCCUGAGGGGGAAAGCGGGGGAUUCUUCGGAACCUCGCGCGAUUGGAGCGGCCGAUGUCGGAUUAGCUAGUAGGUGAGGUAAAGGCUCACCUAGGCGACGAUCCGUAGCGGGUCUGAGAGGAUGAUCCGCCACACUGGGACUGAGACACGGCCCAGACUCCUACGGGAGGCAGCAGUGGGGAAUUUUGGACAAUGGGCGCAAGCCUGAUCCAGCCAUGCCGCGUGAGUGAAGAAGGCCUUCGGGUUGUAAAGCUCUUUCGGCCGGGAAGAAAUCGUGGUCUCUAACAUAGGCCAUGGAUGACGGU
rnacentral:rRNA from 1 species